rnacentral:rRNA from 1 species
GGUAUCGCCGUUAGUCAUGUGCAAAUAUGGAUAGCUGUUUUAGCCGUCUUUAUUGACUGGUUUAUAAGAGUUAUCAGAUAUCACUUUGAUUAAAUUAGAGUGCUUAAAGCAAGUGUGUUACUUGGAUAUAAAUGCAUGGAAUGAUGGAAUAUGUUGUUAUUCUAUUUGUUGGUUUUUGAAUGAUAAAAUGAUUGAAAGGAACUGUUGGGGGCAUUCGUAUUGUUGUGAGAGAGGUGAAAUUCUUAGACCACAGCAAGACGAACUACUGCGAAAGCAUUUGCCAAGAAUGUUUUCAUUGAUCAAGAACGAAAGUUAGAGGUUCGAAGGCGAUCAGAUACCGCCCUAGUUCUGACCAUAAACUAUGCCAACUAGCAAUUUGCUUUGUAUUUUUUAUGACUAAGUGAGAGGCCACGGGAAACCUAAGUAGGGUUAUGGGGGAAGUAUGGUUGCAAAGCUGAAACUUAAAGGAAUUGACGGAAGGGCACCACCAGGAGUGGAGCCUGCGGCUUAAUUUGACUCAACACGGGAAAACUUACCUGGUCCUGACACUAGAAGGAUUGACAGAUUGAUAGCUCUUUCUUGAUUUGGUGGAUGGUGGUGCAUGGCCGUUCUUAGUUGGUGGAGUGAUUUGUCUGGUUAAUUCCGAUAACGAACGAGACUCUAGCCUAUUAAAUAAUACACGGAAUUUUAUCUUCCGCGGUAUUUCUUAGUGGGAUCAAGCG